CCAAUUUUAUAAUUAUAUCAGGUAUUCACAUCAUUAGUAGUACAAAAUCUCAAAGCCGAACCGUUGAUGCCAAUCAAACUUUCCCAUUAACAUUGCAAAAUGAAGGCAAGUGUCCAGUUUUGAUCUAGUUAUUUUGGGGUCUCAUGUGAUUCAAAGUCCAAAUUGUGAAGUCCAUGGGUUAACACUGGUCCAUAAAAAUCAAGGUCCAAAGUGAAGCUCCUGCAAAAACCCUAAAUGGAACCAUCAUGCCUCUGCUCGAGUUCGAGAUGGUGAAGCUAGUGGAGGCCCAAUAGAGAGAAACCAAGUUUGACCGCUGUCUACCAGUGGUAGCCACAGUAAACUGUGCUGACAUCACAGGGGCAAAGAACCUGUACAUUAUGUCAGUGAAGUGAAUAAGGGUCGUUUGAACAGAUUGCCAUCUGCUUGUGUGGGUGCCAUUGUCUUGGGUACUGUUAAAAGUGCAAGGCCGACGCUGUUAUUGUGAGACAUCGCCAACCACAGCAAAUAGAGAGGAUAUAAUCUAUAUGUACUUUGGAGGUAUUUUACUCAUAAUGUGAUUCUAUUCUGCUGUCUUUCCAGUUCCUUUCGUUUCUUGCUAUUCUACAAUUUUUUUUUUAUUUUGGGAUGGAGCUGUAGUUUAUGUUUAUCAUGAUGGAUCUCAGAUCGGCCAGUUGGCCCUUUUCUCCUCUUACUGUUAACUUGUUUUUGUCAUUGUUUAGAGGCAUCUUUUUGUAAUUGGGAAUGAAUUUUAAUGAUGGUGACUAGGGUGUUGCUGAUUUAGUUGUUUCCUGAUGUUUACUUAUUGGCUAAUGUGCAUAUAAUGAGUAGUACUCUUAAAUCCAGAUAUGCUGAUAUACUUGGAUUUUUGUUGUUUGGGAUUUGCAUUGAGAAAUAUUUCUUCUUCACCUUCUUUAUGUAUGGUUGUGAAAGUUGUUUUCUUUGGAAACUCUGCUGGUAAUGUAGUGUGGAGAAUUUUAUAUGUUGUCUCCACAUGUCCCAUCACCAGCUAUACCAAUAUUCUCAACCUUCCCUUACCCGGAUGAUAACAUUCUUAUUUAUUGUCCUUGUCAGGGUUGGGACAUCUACCAACUUAUUUGAACUGGGAAGAUUUGGUAGUAUGGGAUACCUAAUCCCAUAUUGAGUAAUAUGUUAUGCUUAAUGAGGUAUCUAAGUUAGUUGGUUCUUUCACCUCAAUAGCCAGCUUUUGGAGUAGGGUUUCUCAAUCCACUUAGGCACCCAUCAGAGUCCUACUCCUUUUGAAAUCAAAGUGAUUGGUCAUGCUCCAUUUUGAUUGACUUUUUGGUAUCAAAUGUUAGCGGUUCUUUGUUUCUCUCGUGAUUAAUCAGUUAUUGUCUUUGGGGUCCAUGUUGGAAAUUAUGUGGGGGCUUACAUUAAUUAUUUUAUUUAUUUGUUAAAAUGGGUUAAUGCUUUAAUGUUUGGUCCCUAAAAUAUUAAUGCCCAAUUAUGUUAUGUGAUCAUAUACUUGAUGGGCCUAACACGCGAUUUAUUAAGUCUGGUAAGUAGCUAAAGUAUGGGUCGUUAACCUUACUAAAGCUUGUAGUGGGUGAGUCCAGUAAGGAUUAUUAAAUAAGCUAGGUCCCAUUUCUAACCCUAAUUCAAUGUGUGCUUCCCCACCAAAAACCACAUAAUUCUUAAAGGGUAUGGAAAACCUAAGUUGACUAGCUCACGUAGCUUAGUGACUAUGGUCAAAUCAAGCACGCAAUUCUAUCCUAUAUAUUUGUUUGGCUUCUUAACAUAUACUCCAUUAGAUCCCUAUCUAAUAUGUUAAUUAGAUCUUACAGUCCAGACAUUAGUCAGGCAUCCUUCGUGACUUGAAAUGGGUGAUACCGUUACGAGUCUGGUAAACUAAUUGAGUCCAUCGUUACAGAUAUGCUGAUUCUUCAAGUGCUCACAUCUGCUCCAUUAGGGCCCUGCAAGGAUUUUUUUUACCAAUUGCUUGAUUUUUGUCAAUCUGUAUGUUCUCUAUUAAAUGAAAAUUUCAUUUGAUAGAUUGUUGGUGCUAUCUUUCUGUGCUGUAUGUAGUUGUCCAAUAUUUGAUAUAUUUACUAAUUAGAUAUGCUUGAGAAAAAAACGUUUCCUUUUAGGUGGUUUUCUUUUGCAGACAAUGCCGGUGUUAUCACAAAUGAAAGGUACAAAUUUCAUUUAGUUGUAAUAUAUUUAUAUAUAUAUAUAUAUUCACUGCCUGAAAUAAUGGAAAUUUUUUAUUUAGAUUCUUUUGUUGGAUGCUUACCUUUGUAAUCCCCUUGAUCUCCCAAUCUCUUACCUGCUUGAACUCUAUGGUUUUAAAUACUGGAGUAAAUCACACUGGUCUCAUUAUAAUAGAGUACAAUAGUGUUGUAUAAUCUAUAUAGCCGAUCCCCCUUGCAAGGGUGAAUGCAAACCAAACAAUUACAUUGCCCUUUUGGAAUUUUUUUUAAUGGAUAAAGGUGCAUUUUUGUCCUUGAAGUAUUUUCUGAUAAGCACUUAGUAUCAUAAGCUAUUUGUUGAAGUAAUUUUGCCCAUAAAGUAAUUAAAACGAAGCAUUUUUGUCAUUGCUGUCAAAUUUCUAGCAUUAACCGCUAGAAAUAUUAACUGAGACUCUAAUGUUGACCAUUAUAAAAUUUAACGAAAAAGGUAAAAAUGUUUUGUUUUAAUUAUUUUAAGAACAAAAUUAUUUCAAUCAAUAGUUUAGGAUAUCUUUUUUUCUUUUUAAUUUUACUUGUGAAAAACAAAAACAAAAAAAAUUAGCGUUAGCCCCUUCAUAUUUUAGUAGUUUUCAACUCCCCCCCCC